rnacentral:rRNA from 1 species
CACGUAGGGCGCAAGCGUUGUCCGGAAUUAUUGGGCGUAAAGCGCUCGUAGGCGGGACAGGAAGUUCGUGUUGAAAGACCUCGGCUCAACUGAGGGACCGGCUCGAAUACUCUUGUUCUUGAGGCAAUCAGAGGGUGAUGGAAUUCCCGGUGUAGCGGUGGAAUGCGCAGAUAUCAGGAGGAACACCGAUGGCGAAGGCAGAUCUCUGGGCCGUAACUGACGCUGAGGAGCGAAAGCAUGGGGAGCGAACAGG